GCAGCUUUCCUUUCUCCCGGCUGCCCCCGCCUCCCGCCCCGAAUGACGGGGAGGGUCGCUCUGCGCAGGCGCCUGCAGGGCAGCGCCAGCCGGCGGGCGGCUCUGAAUCCGGGCCUGGGCCUGGGCCUCAGCGCGGGCGGAGGCGAAGGCCUGCUUGAGGGAGUGGUCGCCGGGGAAAUUGGCAUCUCUUUGCAAAAAAGUACCCAAGGAGCGCGGGAGAGCUCGGCGUAGAGUGGGCGUCCAAUGGAGUCUCGCUCUAUCACCCAGGCUGGAAUGCAGUGGCACGAUCUCGGCUCACCACAACCUCCGCCUCCCGAGUUCAAGCCAUUCUCCUGCCUCAGCCUCCCGAGUAGCUGGGAUUACAGGUCACUUGUCCCAGUGAUGAAGUUCACAGCAGAGCUGGAAUUUGAACUCUUUGCCCACAGUGUGUGGCGUGGUGCUACCUGCAACCCAAAUAGCUCUACCAUGAAGCCAGGGCCUGGGAGGGCCUGCUGAUCAGAUGCCUCAGAGCAGCAUUUCUCCUACUUUAAUAUGCACACAGAUCACUUGGGGAGCAUGUUAAAAAGUCGAUCCUGAUUCCUUGGAUUUGAGGAUGGGCUGGAGACUCUCCAUUUCUAAUAAGCUCUCAAGUGAGGCCAAUACUGCUGGUUCCAGAGGCAAAGCCCUAGACUCCAGGGUCUAGAACUGUGUAGGACCUAAAUCUAAAAUGUACUGGGGAGGGGAAUAAUGGAACACUAAAUUAUUUAGGAGACAGUUCACAGUCAUGAUUCUACCCACCUAAAAUGCUUUUUGAUAAAAUUUAAAUUUUCGGACAUCAUUUCCAUUGAAUAAACAUGUAGAAUGAGCCUA